CAGUGGACACUUCCAUUACAUAAAUUUAAUUAAUAUUUUUGUAUUUUAGGGUUAUUAAUGAAUUUUAUUUGAUGAAGUUUAUGUCUGUUAAAUUAUUUUGCCUAUAUAUAUUUUGAUGUGUAAAGUCGGGCAAACGAAAGUUCCGGUUGCUACUCCACCACCAUCUACUAUGUCUCUAUCAGCUCCUCCGGGAUAGCUCCGGCUGCUACUCAACCAUCCACACAACUUCAGAGAAAUAUAUGGCUGCUACUCCACCAACCCCACACCUACAGCUUCCAGAGACGUCAUCGUGUGGUACAGGUGUUGGGAGUCCAACGAUUGAGGCUUCCGGCGCGACUGGACUACCAUCACCCACCAUCAAUAAGACGAUUGGAUAUGGGCCAUGACUCCUCGAGAUUGAUCCAGCAAAGUACUUUUAUAUUAUAGCAAUAAGGAUUUUAGUUCUGUAAUUUACUUACCGUAUUAUCUUAAUUUGUUAAAUUUCUGAACUUUUGGUGUAGUAGCCAGUUCAUCUAGUCACAUGUUGCUUCAUCCACCAUACAAGUUCAAAGUAAAUUAUUUAUUAUCAGCUAUUUUAAUUCUUAUAUAUAUAAAUUAUUGAUUUAACUUAUUUAUUUUUAAGAAUUGGAAAAGAUCUGGCAUUGGGAUCCUCGACUUGGUACCAUGGUGUAUUAGAGGUGGUAUGAAUAGGCUAGCAUCCAGUACAAUGAUAGAUUGUACAAGUGGAGGGCCAAGGGUCAGAGAUCAAAUAGGGUCCGAGAGGAGGUAUGGAGUACAUAGAUGGCUUAUUGGUCCUCUGAGCAAUUUCAAAGGAAAUGUGUUGUUGUCUCUAGGAAUUGACGCAGCGAGACUAGGGGCAAGGGAUCAAGACCGUCACUCCAUAUUGGGGUUCGAUAUCUAUGGUUGAGCAAGCUAGGAGGAUGCAUGUGAGUUAGGUUGAGAGCCCGAUCCUCAAACACCAAAUGGCGGCCAUCAGUACAUCGACCGACGCUCUUAGGAUGUCAUUAUCGAUACUAUUAGCUGGUAGAGAUUGCUUCUCAGCGAGAUAAAGGAUCCACAGAGCGACAAGAGCUGGACACUAUAGAGUUAUUCCUUAAGGCGGCAAGCAGUGAUAAGAAGCAUCGUGUUUAUGAUAUGGGUGCUAAGGCACCCUCUUUGUUCAGCCAUGGAUCUUCCUACAACUCCACUGCCAGGUCCCAGACAACAAACAUCCUAAAUCCUCUAGAGACGUGAGUGAUCAAGACUGUGCAGCAGCAGAUGCAGUCUAUGUUAGAUAAGGACAGACUUGUCCGUCGCCAGGAGUAGGAGGAGGUGACUUCUAAUAUCCGUACAGAGAUCCUACAGCUCAUCUGAAAGGUCCUUACAGAGUUUCUGAUGUCUGACAUGUCCUCCUUGGCCCCAGCCCAAUAGCAGCAGGCUGACCAGGAUCAGCCGACCGCCUACCUGUAGAUUAGAAUUUUUUUUAAUUAUUUAUAUAUUUUUUAUUGUACACUACAAUAAGUAAUU